rnacentral:rRNA from 1 species
UUGAACGCUGGCGGCAUGCCUUACACAUGCAAGUCGAACGGUAACAGGUCUUCGGAUGCUGACGAGUGGCGAACGGGUGAGUAAUACAUCGGAACGUGCCCGAUCGUGGGGGAUAACGCAGCGAAAGCUGUGCUAAUACCGCAUACGAUCUAAGGAUGAAAGCGGGGGACUCGCAAGGGCCUCGCGCGAUUGGAGCGGCUGAUAUCAGAUUAGGUUGUUGGUGAGGUAAAAGCUCACCAAGCCGACGAUCUGUAGCUGGUUUGAGAGAACGACCAGCCACACUGGGACUGAGACACGGCCCAGACUCCUACGGGAGGCAGCAGUGGGGAAUUUUGGACAAUGGGCGAAAGCCUGAUCCAGCAAUGCCGCGUGCAGGAAGAAGGCCUUCGGGUUGUAAACUGCUUUUGUACGGAACGAAACGGUCCUUUCUAAUAAAGAGGGCUAAUGACGGUACCGUAAGAAUAAGCACCGGCUAACUACGU